rnacentral:snRNA from 1 species
GUCUCUUCGGAGACAUCCGAUAAAAUUGGAACGAUACAGAGAAGAUUAGCAUGGCCCCUGCGCAAGGAUGACACGCACAAUCGAGAAAUGGGCGAAUUCUGG